CAUGCAGCCUCUUUGCCCCUUUCUCAGGAUGUUGACAGGAAACCUGCACUCUGGACAAAAAGGACUACUCAUUUGCCUCUGAAUUCAUCCUUGCCUGCUCCCUAGCCUGUACUCUGCUGUCCCUUCCAUCAGAAAGGGCCCCCCCCACUACUUUUGAAACAUCUGCCUGGAGAAGCCAAUCCCAGGCUGCCCUUUUAUGAUGCCCCCAGCAACCUUUGUCCUCUGUACUUUGCUCAGCACAGUCUCUGGCACUGAACACAGAGCUUGGCAUGGCAGUUUGAGGGCGUCAAACAGAAAUGCUCAUCCAUGAAGCAACUUGAAGACACUCAGGAAAAGAAAAGAAAUUAGAAUCCAGGGCAGAAAGAAGUUUCUUGGUGGAAGCUUCCAGAAGUCAUUGAUCUGAGUCUAUGCAGAAGAAAGCUUCAGGAGGAGGGGAGCAUGCAGAUGUGCUGCAAUUUAGGAUGACAUCCUGGAGGACAGCAGUGGGGACACCCGCUCCCUUUCAGGUCCACGCCUCGCCCACGACUUCGAUUUCAUACUGUCAAGCAACUAUGAACAAAGCAGUCCCAGCAGAAGGUUCCGAGCUGCUGAAGCCCAGUGGCAGACUCUGGUGGCUCAAGGCCCAGGCCCAGAGCACCUCCAGUCCAGUAAGCCUGGAUGCCAGAUACAGACCACUAGGUAACUAGAGAGCACACCUUGUCUUUUACACAUUUCCUCAUUAAAUAUUCCACAUGGGUUGCUGACCCUGUUUCCUGUGCUCUGUCAACAGAAAAGGCACAAGAUGGACUGUGAGGACAUGACGACCUUCCCCAAUAGUGACACGUUGGAGGGACUCAAGGUAUGCAGAGAACCGCUUUCCAAUAGCUGAAGCACACAUCAAGUUAUGUUAGCAUUCUCCCUUCAAGAAACAAGAACAGUAUUUUCCCUUAAAAAAAAAAAAAAAAACUGAGCUGGUUUUAUCUUGUGAGCUUCUAGUGUAGCUGAAACAUUUCUGUAGAGUUAACCUUGAAAAGUUAUGUUCCAGCCUGGCUAAAGAGAGGUGUGGGGUCACCCAGGUGACUCUGUACCCACGCAGAAGCUGGAAGAAAUUAGAAUAAAAAGGAAAAAAAAAGUUGCCA